UCUAUUACCUGCAUCAAGGCUCAAAUCCAAUCCCCACAAAUUAAAUCAGAAUUCACCAAGCCACCAAUCGAGUUGCUCACCGCCAAAACCAAGCUCACACGCACAUCCAAUCAAAGCCUUCAGCCAUUCAAUUCGAGAUUGUCACUAAAAGAAUCAAAGGGCCGCGAGAUGAGGCGCGAUGGUGUCUGGUGUGGGCGGCGUGGUUCUUGACGGCUGACCGCGGGCAAGGAGCCGGGGAGGCCCUCUUCACCUUGCCGCGCUGCACCUCGCUUGCUCCUGCGGCGGCGAGGCUAGUCCAUCUCGCCUUCACCACCACCGUCUGGGGUUCUGGCCUCUGAAUCACUUCACCGGCAACAUCGUCAUGUUCAACGUAAGCAACAUCGCCGCUUGUGUUCGCCCCGUUGAUUCGCUAGUCUAACCUGGUAGCAACGACAUCAAGCAAUGUGUUUACGUGUGCAUGUCCUGGUUACUCGAGCAAUGGCUGGGAGGGAAGUUAGAGGAAAGCUAUCACUAGUGCCUGAUUCUAGAACAGAGGAGAUAGAGAAAGAUUGGAGAAAUGGAGAUGGUGGAUGGU
rnacentral:lncRNA from 1 species